UACGAAGGUCCCAAGCGUUAUCCGGAUUUAUUGGGUUUAAAGGGUGCGUAGGCGGAUUAUUAAGUCAGUGGUGAAAGCUCCAUGCCUAACAUGGAAAUUGCCAUUGAUACUGAUGAUCUUGAGUACAUUUGAAGUGGGCGGAAUGUGUCAUGUAGCGGUGAAAUGCUUAGAUAUGACACAGAACACCGAUUGCGUAGGCAGCUCGCUAAACUGUAACUGACGCUGGGGCACGAAAGCGCGGGGAGCAAACAGG
rnacentral:rRNA from 1 species